rnacentral:rRNA from 1 species
GCAUAUCAAUAAGCGGAGGAAAAGAAACCAACAGGGAUUGCCUCAGUAACGGCGAGUGAAGCGGCAACAGCUCAAAUUUGAAAUCUGGCCCCAGGCCCGAGUUGUAAUUUGCAGAGGAUGCUUUUGGCGCGGUGCCUUCCGAGUUCCCUGGAACGGGACGCCAUAGAGGGUGAGAGCCCCGUCUGGUUGGACACCAAGCCUUUGUAAAGCUCCUUCGACGAGUCGAGUAGUUUGGGAAUGCUGCUCUAAAUGGGAGGUACAUGUCUUCUAAAGCUAAAUACCGGCCAGAGACCGAUAGCGCACAAGUAGAGUGAUCGAAAGAUGAAAAGCACUUUGGAAAGAGAGUUAAACAGCACGUGAAAUUGUUAAAAGGGAAGCGUUUAUGACCAGACGUGGGCCGGUUAAUCAUCCAGCGUUCUCGCUGGUGCACUUUGCCGGUCCAGGCCAGCAUCAGUUCGUUGCGGGGGAUAAAGGCUUUGGGAAUGUAGCUCCUCGGAGUGUUAUAGCCCUCUGCGUAAUACCCUGCGGCGGACUGAGGUUCGCGCUCGCAAGGAGCGGC